UACGAAGGGGGGCUAGCGUUGUUCGGAAUUACUGGGCGUAAAGCGCGCGCAGGCGGUCUUCCAAGUCAGUGGUGAAAGCCCGGAGCUCAACUCCGGAACUGCCAUUGAAACUGUUAGACUUGAGGAUGAGAGAGGUGAGUGGAAUUCCCAGUGUAGAGGUGAAAUUCGUAGAGAUCCGGAGGAACACCAGUGGCGAAGGCGACACGCUGGGCCGUACCUGACACUGAUGCGCGACAGCAUGGGGAGCAAACAGG
rnacentral:rRNA from 1 species